rnacentral:ncRNA from 1 species
GUCGGUAUCCGGCGAACGUAGCUUCGGGCCGAGGAACGGCCCCGUUUUCGCUCCCGACUCAGUCUCCCGGCGACGUCGCGGCUGUCUUGACUGCCUCUCUGAGGCUUAACAGUGCAAGUGCGGUCGCUCGGUCGGCGUCGGCGAGGCGGCGGGCAUUGGAGAACGGUUUAGAGGGUCCGCGGCUGGCCGUGGCGGCACUCUUCCCGACCCGUCUUGAAACACGGACCAAGGAGUCUAACGUGAGCGCGAGUCACAGGGAAAAACACUCCCUUGGGGCGCAGCGAAAGCGAUGUGGUCCGAUCCUCUCUCGGGUGAGGGGGGCGCAGGACCGGCCCGUCGGGGGUUGUUACGGCCUCGGCGGAGCAAGAGCGCUCGCGUUGGGACCCGAAAGAUGGUGAACUAGGCCCGAGCGGGACGAAGCCGGGAGAAAUGCUGGUGGAGGUCCUAAGUGGUUCUGACGCGCAAAUCGAUCACGGAACUUGGGCGUAGGGGCGAAAGACUAAUCGAACCAUCUAGUAGCUGGUUCCCUCCGAAGUUUCCCCCAGGAUAGCUGGCGCUCGCCGAGACAGUUUCGUCCGGUAAAGCGAAUGAUUAGAGGAGUCCGUGCCGAAAUGGCGUGGAGCUAUUGUCAAACUUUGAACGGGCGAGAAGGGGUGCCUACCGCUCGAUCUGGGAGGCUCGGCCCCCGUCGAAAUGUACGAGUGCCAAGUGGGCCACUUUUGGUAAGCAGAACUGGCGCUGUGGGAUGAACCANACGCCGGGUUAAGGCGCCCGAUCGUCACGCUCAGCAGAACCCACAAAAGGCGUCCAUCGGUAAAGACAGCAGGACGGUGACCAUGGAAGUCGGUAUCCGCCAAGGAGUGUGUAACAACUCACCUGCCGAAUUGGUGGGCCCUGAAAAUGGAUGGCGCUGUAGCGUGCAGCCUACACCCGGCCGUCUCGGCAAUUUUCUCCGGCCUGCCGGUAGAGACUGACCGAAGCCGAGACGAGUAGGAGGGUCGCCGCGGUCAGCGCUGAAGCCUUAGACGCGAGUCUGGGUGUAGCGGCCGCGGGUGCCGAUCUUGGUGGUAGUAGCAAAUAUUCGAGCGAGAACCUCGAAGGCCGAAGUGGAGAAGGGUUCCGCGUUGCUCCUUCGAUCGGCCGCGGGUUAGUCGGUCCUAAGGCCUGGGAGAAAUCCUACGGGAAGCGGGACGUUUUUGAAAAUCAUUAAAAAUCAGUCUCACCCAAUGCACGGGCCGAAAGGGAAACGGGUUAGGAUUCCCGUACCCGAAGGCGGAGCACAAGCGGCGACGCAAAGAAGGUCGGAUACACCGUCGGGAGAGUCGAGAAGAGUUAACUUUUCUUUUUGAGGUGCGCUCGCUGACCCUGGAAGCGGUUCUGCCGGAGAUAGGGAGCGAGAGCAAUCAACUUUAUCCGCAAAGCCG